rnacentral:tRNA from 1 species
AAGACUAGUCUAACCAAGACCGCUAAUUUCGACUUAGCAUAUUCUGGAUGUACCCCAGAGUCUUU